rnacentral:tRNA from 1 species
GGCGAUUAUAGCUCAGUUGGUUAGAGUGACAGAUUGUGGUUCUGUAAGUCACGGGUUCAACUCCCGUUAAUCGCC